rnacentral:rRNA from 1 species
GUGGGGAAUUUUAGACAAUGGGCGCAAGCCUGAUCCAGCAAUGCCGCGUGCAGGAAGAAGGCCUUCGGGUUGUAAACUGCUUUUGUACGGAACGAAACGGUCCGGGUUAAUACCCUGGGCUAAUGACGGUACCGUAAGAAUAAGCACCGGCUAACUACGUGCCAGCAGCCGCGGUAAUACGUAGGGUGCAAGCGUUAAUCGGAAUUACUGGGCGUAAAGCGUGCGCAGGCGGUUUUGUAAGACAGAGGUGAAAUCCCCGGGCUCAACCUGGGAACUGCCUUUGUGACUGCAAAGCUGGAGUGCGGCAGAGGGGGAUGGAAUUCCGCGUGUAGCAGUGAAAUGCGUAGAUAUGCGGAGGAACACCGAUGGCGAAGGCAAUCCCCUGGGCCUGCACUGACGCUCAUGCACGAAAGCGUGGGGAGCAAACAGGAUUAGAAACCCCUGUAGUCC